GCCGCGUGAGUGAAGAAGGCCUUCGGGUUGUAAAGCUCUUUCGGCCGGGAAGAAAUCGUGCAGGCUAAUACCCUGUAUGGAUGACGGUACCGGAAUAAGAAGCACCGGCUAACUACGUGCCAGCAGCCGCGGUAAUACGUAGGGUGCGAGCGUUAAUCGGAAUUACUGGGCGUAAAGCGUGCGCAGGCGGUUUUGUAAGACAGGCGUGAAAUCCCCGGGCUCAACCUGGGAACUGCGCUUGUGACUGCAAGACUAGAGUACGGCAGAGGGGGGUGGAAUUCCACGUGUAGCAGUGAAAUGCGUAGAGAUGUGGAGGAACACCAAUGGCGAAGGCAGCCCCCUGGGUCGAUACUGACGCUCAUGCACGAAAGCGUGGGGAGCAAACAGGAUUAGAUACCCUGGUAGUCCACGCCCUAAACGAUGUCAACUAGUUGUUGGUAGGGUAAAACCUAUUAGUAACGGAGCUAACGCGUGAAGUUGACCGCCUGGGGAGUACGGCCGCAAGGUUAAAACUCAAGAA
rnacentral:rRNA from 1 species